rnacentral:rRNA from 1 species
UCGAGAAUCUUGGACAAUGCGCGAAAGCGUGAUCCAGCGACGCCGCGUGGAGGAUGAAGGCCUUCGGGUCGUAAACUCCUGUUGUCAGGGAGCAACCGGUGGUGGGCUAAUACCCCAUCACUCUGAUAGUACCUGACGAGAAAGCCACGGCUAACUCUGUGCCAGCAGCCGCGGUAAUACAGAGGUGGCAAGCGUUGUUCGGAUUUACUGGGCGUAAAGGGUGCGUAGGAGGUCGUGUGUGUCGGAUGUG